rnacentral:rRNA from 1 species
GAGUUUGAUCAUGGCUCAGGAUGAACGCUAGCUACAGGCUUAACACAUGCAAGUCGAGGGGAAACGACAUCGAAAGCUUGCUUUUGAUGGGCGUCGACCGGCGCACGGGUGAGUAACGCGUAUCCAACCUGCCCACCACUUGGGGAUAACCUUGCGAAAGUAAGACUAAUACCCGAUGAUAUCUCUAGACGACAUCUGAAAGGGAUUAAAGAUUUAUCGGUGAUGGAUGGGGAUGCGUCUGAUUAGCUUGUUGGCGGGUAACGGCCCACCAAGGCAACGAUGCAUAGCCGGCCUGAGAGGGCGGACGGCCACA